rnacentral:lncRNA from 1 species
CUGUGCGUCAGUCCAGCUGGCUCCCCCACCCUCCUGGGUCGUGGCACCACCCACCCAGAAUGGGAACCUGUGCUGUGACUUCCAGCUGCCUUCUCCCCAAUGGUUAUUAGUGCCUGGCCAGAAGCAGACAGCGCUCGGUGACAGAGAACACUGGGCGGCCAGGAAGGCUUCUCUGAGGAGGUGGCAUUCAGUGUGAAAAGGCGCUCAAGAGUGAAAAGGCAAACACCCUCUCGUGCUCGAGGCCUCCCAACAGCCCGUGCUUCAUCUCUGCCUUCUCCGUCAUCAGGACACCGGAUUUCUCUUGGAAAUGUGUCGGUGGUGGAAGCAAACUGGCAAGGCUUAGGCUAUGACAAACACAGGGCCUGCCUUUGCCCUGGGCGGCACCAAAUGCAGGAGCACAGUAGGUCUUCGGAAACUUCGAACCGGAUUGCUGCUCAAGCCACAGGGCAUCCAAUAGGAAUCCGGCUUCUGGCUAGUCGUUCCCAUCUUUCCAUGGACCAGCUUUGCCCCCAACCUUGUCGUUCAGGUGGAGAGGCUGAACUUGGGCAGCCCCUGGAAGGAGGCAGAAGGUGGAGCUAUCUGAGACCUUUGGCAAAUAACCCCAAUGGCUAACUUUCUCCAGCACUUGACAGUUUUCUAGUCAUGUACAAAUCUAUGAGCACAUUCGAGUCUCCAGUAGCCAAUUUUACCAAGAAUCUUUAAAUCCAACUGCUGACAUUUAUUAAGCACUUAGACCUUAACAUAAAUCCCAGGAGGUAGAAAAAAUGCCAAAAGUUUCCCUACAGUUCCGCUAAUAAGAAGCAAAAAUGAAUUAGAAGGAAAAAUAAAGGAAGUUGUAGUUCUCACACAUCUCGGCUGGUGGAAGUGCUACACAUGAAUUAUCCUCUUAACUCCUCACCAUCAGGCUGUGAGACAGUUAGAAUUUCCCUUCUGUUACAGCUGAUGAAAGUGUGCCUUAGCCAAGAGGUGACCCACUAAGGUCCUGUGGCCAGGAAACAGCAGAGAGGGGAUGAGAGCUGGGGUCUGGUUCUACAGCCUGUGCUCUUCCUGCACUUCCAGUGGGAGGAUAUUUCCAGCAUUUUGCCCCAAGGCGAUGGAUACCACCCUUAACCAUAUGGACUUAAGGAAUUUUCUCUACCUUCCCCCAUAAAGGCCACGUGCUCACUUAUGUUCCCAUUCCAUGUGCUUGGGCUGAGAUGUGUCUACACUGCCUGUUAGGGGCUGAAUUAUGUCCCCUCAAAUUCAUAUGUUGAAGUCCUAACCCUCAGUAUUUCAGAAAGUAGCGUAUUUGGAGAUAAGGUUUUAAAAGAGGUGAUUAUGUUAAAAUGAGAUAUUUAGGUGGGCCUUAAUCCAAUAUGAUUAGUGUCCUUAUGGGAAGAGGAAAUUUGGACACAUACAGAGACAGCAGAAAUGUGCACAGAAGGACACUCAUGUGAAGACACAGCAAGAAAGCAGCCAUUUACAAGCCAAGGAGACAGGGCUCAGAAGAAAACAAACCUUGUGAGGCCUUGAUUUCAGACUUCCAGCCUCCAGAAUUGUGAGAGAAUAAAUCUGUGUUGUUUAAGGCCUUCAGUCUGUGGCAUCUGAUCAUGGCAGCCCUAGCAGACUAAUGCAGCCCCCAGUCUUAAGCUACAAGCCAUUCACACCUGUUAGAAUGGCUACAAAGAAAAAAGAAAGACAGAGAGAAAGAAGAAAGAGAGAGAGGAAGGAAGGAAGGAAGACGGGGGAGAGAGAGAGAAGG